rnacentral:rRNA from 1 species
AGAGUUUGAUCCUGGCUCAGAACGAACGCUGGCGGCAGGGCUAACACAUGCAUGUCGAACGCCGUAGCAAUACGGAGUGGCAGACGGGUGAGUAACACGUGGGAACAUGCCCUUUGGUUUGGGAUAACUCAGGGAAACCUGAGCUAAUACCGAAUGUGCCCUUCGUGGGAAAGAUUUAUCGCCAUUAGAGCGGCCCGCGUCUGAUUAGCUUGUUGGUGAGGUAAAGGCUCACCAAGGCUACGAUCAGUAGCUGGUCUGAGAGGAUGAUCAGCCACACUGGGACUGAGACACGGCCCAGACUCCUACGGGAGGCAGCAGUGGGGAAUCUUGCGCAAUGGGCGAAAGCCUGACGCAGCCAUGCCGCGUGAAUGAUGAAGGUCUUAGGAUUGUAAAAUUCUUUCACCGGGGACGAUAAUGACGGUACCCGGAGAAGAAGCCCCGGCUAACUUCGUGCCAGCAGCCGCGGUAAUACGAGAGGCCCAAACGUUAUUCGGAUUUACUGGGCUUAAAGAGUUUGUAGGCGGUUCGGUAAGUGAGAUGUGAAAGCCCUCGGCUCAACCGAGGAAUUGCGUUUCAAACUGCCGGGCUCGAGGGAGAUAGAGGUGAGCGGAACUGAUGGUGGAGCGGUGAAAUGCGUUGAUAUCAUCAGGAACACCAGAGGCGAAGGCGGCUCACUGGGUCUCUUCUGACGCUGAGAAACGAAAGCUAGGGGAGCAAACGGGAUUAGAUACCCCGGUAGUCCUAGCCGUAAACGAUGUCAACUGGUUGUUGGGUCUCUUCUGACUCAGUAACGAAGCUAACGCGUGAAGUUGACCGCCUGGGGGAGUACGGCCGCAAGGUUGAAACUCAAACGAAUUGACGG